UUUCCGUAGGUGAACCUGCGGAAGGAUCAUUAAUGAGAACUAAGGGUAGUAGUCUCGGCUACUACUCGGAACACUCCACCCUUUGUUUAUAUUACCUUUGUUGCUUUAGCAGGCCCGCUCUCGAGCCGCCGGCACCUGCUGGCUAGUGCCUGCUAAAGAACCUAAAACUCUUGUUAAUAAUAUUGUCUGAGUACUAUAUAAUAGUUAAAACUUUCAACAACGGAUCUCUUGGUUCUG
rnacentral:misc_RNA from 1 species